GUUUGCAGACAAUGCUGUUCUUCUUUUUCAGAAGUUUUUGGUGGGCCAACCCUCACAACCUUCCUAAAAACUAAAAGAGCUAUUACUGAGUCUCAGCGAAUCUUGCCACUAUCAGCUCUUCCCAGAAGAGAAGGAAGACCAAGGAAAUGAUUUGCUCAGGAUGAGGAAUGAAGAUGGUCAUCUUGUGCUCAAGCAAACAGAAGUCCUCUGAUGGUCUCAUCAGCCAAAUGAGGGGUUUUGACCAAGUGAUGCUCUUGAAAGGAGUGAAAGAAGAGGAUGUGGUAAAUUGUCUUCAGAGAAAAAGCUUCUCAAAAGAUCUUAAAACAGCUUGAAGAAUGGU